rnacentral:tRNA from 1 species
GCGGCGGUGCUGGAACUGGUCUACAGGAUGGUCUCAAACACCAUUGUCCGAAAGGACGUGUGGGUUCGAAUCCCACCCGCCGCA